UUUCUAUGGAAGCUUGCUUCCACUGAGAAGAUAGUGGCGAACGGGUGAGUAACACGUGGGUAACCUGCCCAUAAGAGGGGGAGUAACAUCCGGAAACGGGUGCUAAUACCGCAUAGUUUUCUUGAUCGCAUGAUUGAGAAAGGAAAGAACGGCCUUUGUGCUGUCGCUUAUGGAUGGACCCGCGGCGUAUUAGUUAGUUGGUGAGGUAACGGCUCACCAAGACGAUGAUACGUAGCCGACCUGAGAGGGUGAUCGGCCACAUUGGGACUGAGACACGGCCCAAACUCCUACGGGAGGCAGCAGUAGGGAAUCUUCCGCAAUGGACGAAAGUCUGACGGAGCAACGCCGCGUGAGUGAAAGAAGGUUUUCGGAUCGUAAAACUACUGUUGUCAGAGAAGAACAAGUUGGAGAGUAACUGCUCCAGCCUUGACGGUAUCUGACCAGAAAGCCACGGCUAACUACGUGCCAGCCGCCGC
rnacentral:rRNA from 1 species